AUUGAACGCUGGCGGAAUGCUUUACACAUGCAAGUCGAACGGCAGCACGGACUUCGGUCUGGUGGCGAGUGGCGAACGGGUGAGUAAUACAUCGGAACGUGCCCAGUCGUGGGGGAUAACGUAGCGAAAGCUACGCUAAUACCGCAUACGAUCUAAGGAUGAAAGCGGGGGAUCGCAAGCCCUCGCGCGAUUGGAGCGGCCGAUGGCAGAUUAGGUAGUUGGUAGGGUAAAGGCCUACCAAGCCGACGAUCUGUGGCUGGUCUGAGAGGAUGAUCCGCCACACUGGGACUGAGACACGGCCCAGACUCCUACGGGAGGCAGCAGUGGGGAAUUUUGGACAAUGGACGCAAGUCUGAUCCAGCCAUUCCGCGUGCAGGAUGAAGGCCCUCGGGUUGUAAACUGCUUUUGUACAGAACGAAAAGGCUCUGGUUAAUACCUGGGGCUCAUGACGGUACUGUAAGAAUAAGCACCGGCUAACUACGUGCCAGCCGCCGCGGUAA
rnacentral:rRNA from 1 species